AACGAAUGCUGGCGGCAGGCCUAACACAUGCAAGUCGAACGAGAAGCUAGAGCUUGCUCUAGUGGAAAGUGGCAGACGGGUGAGUAACACGUGGGAAUCUACCCAGAGGUACGGAAUAAUGCAGGGAAACUUGUACUAAUACCGUAUGUGCCCCUUCGGGGGGAAAGCGUUAUGUAGCGCCUUUGGAUGAGCCCGCGCUGGAUUAGGUAGUUGGUGGGGUAAUGGCCUACCAAGCCUACGAUCUAUAGCUGGUCUGAGAGGAUGAUCAGCCACACUGGAACUGAGACACGGUCCAGAUGCCUACGGGCAGCAGCAGUGGGGAAUCUUGCACAAUGGGCGCAAGCCUGAUGCAGCCAUGCCGCGUGAGUGAAGAAGGCCCUAGGGUUGUAAAACUCUUUCGCUGGUGAAGAUAAUGACGGUAACCAGUAAAGAAGCCCCGGCCAACUCCG
rnacentral:rRNA from 1 species